GAUAACUGGCUUGUGGCGGCUUUUUGAUCCUUCGAUGUCGGCUCUUCCUAUCGUUAAGCAGAAUUCACCAAGCGUUGGAUUGUUCACCCACUAAUAAGGAACGUGAGCUGGGUGAGCUGAGUUUAGACCGUCGUGAGACAGAUA
rnacentral:ncRNA from 1 species